rnacentral:misc_RNA from 1 species
CCGAGUUUACAACUCCCAAACCCAAUGUGAACGUUACCAAACUGUUGCCUCGGCGGGAUCUUCUGCCCCGGGUGCGUCGCAGCCCCGGACCAAGGCGCCCGCCGGGGGACUCAAACUCUUCUGUAUUUUUUUGUUUACUGUAUACUGUCUGAGUAAAAAUUCAUAAUGAAUCA